rnacentral:rRNA from 1 species
AUGGCGGGUAAGGAGGAGGAGCUUUCGAUGGAGGCGGCGGCGAAGUGGAUGCUGAGGCCGUGCACCGCCCCCAAAUCUAAAUCUAUGGAGGCCGGCGACCAUGGUCCGGCGACGCGGUUCCCCUCCAAGAGGAAGGCAGCCGCCGGAUCCAGCUACAGCUACAAGGAGGGUGAUCAGCUGCCUGAGGGUUGGAUCGAUCUUCCUUCCGCGGCGGCGGCGGGACAAGAUGACCCAGCGGCGUACGAUCUGUUCGCCUUCGAGAGGAGGGAGGCAGCGAUUGACAAGAUGCUGGGGGAGGCGAAGCUGUCGGCCGUCGUCCUCGCCAAGAAGAGUGACAUGGCCCCUAGGGCGGCAUCAGCAUCAGCAUCAGGUGGCAACAAGGGCAAGUUUAAGGUGCCGGCGGAUGAUGUCAAGCUCAUCCUGGCACUGAAGAGGAAUGACCUUCCCAGCAUCGACUACCUGGAUGAUCUGGCCCACCUGUACACUCCGGAGGAGAUUGCAGAGAGGAGGCUGCGCCACCAGAGCGAUCUGGAGCUCUUCAAGAGGAUUGACGACGACUUUGAGGAGUACCAGAAAAAGGUCCGCGAAUCGGUUGACAAAUAUGGCUACUUUGAGGUCGACUAUGACUAUGUUGAAGCGAGGAAGAAGAUCAAUGCAUGGACCAAGGCACAGUGGGCCAAGAUCAAACAAGAUGUCAAGAUUACUGUUUGUGCCCCCGAUGCUGAUCAAGCCACGCUGGGUUACAUCGACUAUGUCGACUCGGAUGAUGAUGCUUCUGAGUAUGAUGAUGAUUCUGAGUACGAUGAUGAUUCCGAGUCUGAAGACCAAGACUGA